rnacentral:lncRNA from 1 species
GAAGUUGUGCGUUUUGGAAAUAGAUGCAAAGAUCCUCAGUGGCACAACCUGGAACGCUAUUUCGAGAAUUAGGUUCAGAGCUUUCACCACAAAGAGCAAUUAAAAGAGGAGGCAGAGACGGUGAUGCAACAAUUAAUGACUUUGUUCAAUAUACUGCUGAAUUAUAUCAUGAAUUGCAUGCCUUAGACAGGUUUGAUCAAGUAUUCGACGACAAGCUUUUCGACUCUUCUGUCAUACCUGCGAUCCUUGUACAAUAGCUUCACUCCUUCUCCUGGAUUUCAAGUCAAUUAAGCCAAUUGGAAUCACCAAAUUGCCGUAAGUGAAUGUCGGCAUUGUCAUUACAGCAAACAUAAACGUUACCUGCAAGAAACACCCCAAACCAUAACAGUCAAUUUAGAAACAUGCUGGAUACACAAGCUACCCAAAACGAGUACAAAACCGACCGAUGUUUCAAAUUUUCAUUACAGUAAAAGAACAAAUUAGUAGCAAGGUAGUCGAAUUUCAAGAAAUCCCAAUUCCAAAGGAGUUCCAACCACAACAUGAUUUCCAUUAAACCACAUGGAAUUCGGUUUUGACCAACUCAACUGGUAUUAAUACUGCUAGCAUCAUCUCAUUCUCCAUUUGAAAACACAUGUUGCCAAUUAUGCUAGCAUGCCAGCCUAACCGAGUCCAACUUGACUGUUAUAAUACAAACCUGCGACAAACAAUAAUUAACAUAACAGCAGACAACAGCCGGCAUAAAGUAAUAAACCAACAGCAGCAAAAUG